UGAUGUCCCGGUUCAAGCCUGUAGUCGUGCCUGGUAGGUAAAUCCGCCGGGCUUAGAUGAGGGGUGAUAACGAGGAGGCUUGCCUCCGAAGUGAGUGAUACCCAGCUUCCAGGAAAAGCCACUAAGCUUCAGCUGCACACGACCGUACCGCAAACCGACACUGGUGCGCGAGAUGAGUAUUCUCAGGCGCUUGAGAGAACUCGGGAGAAGGAACUCGGCAAAUUGACACCGUAACUUCGGAAGAAGGUGUGCCUUUAGUAGGUGAACCCGUACAGGGGGAGCCCAAUGAGGUUGCAAAGAAUCGGUGGCUGCGACUGUUUAAUAAAAACACAGCACUCUGCAAACACGAAAGUGGACGUAUAGGGUGUGACGCCUGCCCGGUGCUGGAAGAUUAAGUGAUGGGGUGCAAGCUCUUGAUCGAAGUCCCAGUAAACGGCGGCCGUAACGAUAACGGUCCUAAGGUAGCGAAAUUCCUUGUCGGGUAAGUUCCGACCUGCACGAAUGGCGUAACGAUGGCCACACAGUCUCCUCCCGAGACUCAGCGAAGUUGAAAUGUUUGUGAUGAUGCAAUCUCCCCGCGGAAAGACGGAAAGACCCCAUGAACCUUUACUGUAGCUUUGUAUUGGACUUUGAACGGAUCUGUGUAGGAUAGGUGGGAGGCUUUGAAGCAGGGUCGCUAGAUCUUGUGGAGCCAACGUUGAAAUACCACCCUGGUGCGUUUGAGGUUCUAACCUAGGCCCGUUAUCCGGGUCGGGGACAGUGCAUGGUAGGCAGUUUGACUGGGGCGGUCUCCUCCCAAAGCGUAACGGAGGAGUUCGAAGGUACGCUAGUUACGGUCGGACAUCGUGACGAUAGUGCAAUGGCAUAAGCGUGCUUAACUGCGAGACUGACAAGUCGAGCAGAUGCGAAAGCAGGACAUAGUGAUCCGGUGGUUCUGUAUGGAAGGGCCAUCGCUCAACGGAUAAAAGGUACUCUGGGGAUAACAGGCUGAUACCGCCCAAGAGUUCAUAUCGACGGCGGUGUUUGGCACCUCGAUGUCGGCUCAUCUCAUCCUGGGGCUGUAGCCGGUCCCAAGGGUAUGGCUGUUCGCCAUUUAAAGAGGUACGUGAGCUGGGUUUAAAACGUCGUGAGACAGUUUGGUCCCUAUCUUCCGUGGGCGCUGCAGAUUUGAGGAAGCCUGCUCCUAGUACGAGAGGACCGGAGUGGACGCACCUCUGGUGUACCUGUUGUCACGCCAGUGGCAUUGCAGGGUAGCUAAGUGCGGAAGAGAUAACCGCUGAAAGCAUCUAAGCGGGAAACUCGUUUCAAGAUGAGAUCUGCCGGGGCCUUGAGCCCCCUGAAGAGUCGUUCUAGACCAGGACGUUGAUAGGCUGGGUGUGGAAGCGCAGUAAUGCGUUAAGCUAACCAGUACUAAUUGCUCGUGCGGCUUGACCC
rnacentral:rRNA from 1 species